rnacentral:rRNA from 15 species
ACGAGCGGCGGACGGGUGAGUAAUGCCUAAGAAUCUGCCUAGUGGUGGGGGAUAGCCCGGGGAAACCCGGAUUAAUACCGCAUACGCCCUUCGGGGGAAAGCGGGGGAUCUUCGGACCUCGCGCCAUUAGAUGAGCUUAGGUCAGAUUAGCUUGUUGGUGAGGUAAUGGCUCACCAAGGCAACGAUCUGUAGCUGGUCUGAGAGGAUGAUCAGCCACACUGGGACUGAGACACGGCCCAGACUCCUACGGGAGGCAGCAGUGGGGAAUAUUGGACAAUGGGCGAAAGCCUGAUCCAGCCAUGCCGCGUGUGUGAAGAAGGCCCUAGGGUUGUAAAGCACUUUAAGCUGGGAAGAUGGUGCGUAGGAUUAAUACUCCUAUGUAUAGACGGUACCAGCAGAAUAAGCACCGGCUAACUCCGUGCCAGCAGCCGCGGUAAUACGGAGGGUGCGAGCGUUAAUCGGAAUUACUGGGCGUAAAGCGCGCGUAGGCGGCUUCGUCAGUCAGAUGUGAAAGCCCCGGGCUCAACCUGGGAACUGCAUUUGAUACUGCGGAGCUAGAGUAUGGUAGAGGAUAGUGGAAUUCCAGGUGUAGCGGUGAAAUGCGUAGAUAUCGGGAGGAACAUCGAUGGCGAAGGCAGCCAACUGGGCCUGAUCUGACGCUGAGGUACGAAAGCGUGGGGAGCAAACAGGAUUAGAUACCCUGGUAGUCCACGCCGUAAACGAUGUCUACUAGCCGUUGGGGAACUUGAUUCUUUAGUGGCGCAGCUAACGCACUAAGUUGACCGCCUGGGGAGUACGGUCGCAAGAUUAAAACUCAAAGGAAUUGACGGGGGCCCGCACAAGCGGUGGAGCAUGUGGUUUAAUUCGAUUCAACGCGAAGAACCUUACCAGGACUUUUAUCUAUUUAAUUUUAAGAAAUUAAAAUUUAGUGAAGUAGAAAUAGGUGGUGCAUGGCUGUCGCCAGCUCGUGUCGUGAGAUGUUGGGUUAAUUCCCUUAACGAGCGCAACCCUUGUUUGGUCAGUUGUUAUGGAUUUCUGAGAAGACUGCCGAUGAGAAAUCGGAGGAAGGUAAGGAUGACGUCAAGUCAGUAUGCCCCGUAUGUCCUGGGCUACACACGUGCUACAAUGGUUAAGACAAAGAGCCGCUUACUUGUAAAAGAUGAAGAAGCCAAAGUAAGUAAAAUUAUUUUAGUAAGAGCAAAUCUCCAAACUUAAUCGAAGUUCGGAUUGUAGGCUGCAACUCGCCUACAUGAAGUUGGAAUCGCUAGUAAUCGCUGGUCAGCAGUACAGCGGUGAAUUCGUCCCUGGGCCUUGUACACACCGCCCGUCACACCAUGGAAGUUGGUCAGGCUGGAAACUAAUAUUAAAUUAGUAGUUAAAGUGGGGCGAGCGACUGGGGUGAAGUCGAAACAAGGUAGCCGUACUGGAAGGUGCGGCUGGAUCAUCUA